CACAGUUACUAACAUGUAGCUAGGUAGCUAAUGCUAACUGUUACUGUCUCGUCAUUACUGGAGCUCUUUUGGUAAAUAAGCACUAUUGUGAAUAGUGUAAUGUAGUUAUCUGUCAUGCCUCCUUAGAUAUACUUUUACAGUCUGAAAAUGUUUGUUGUAUGUAGACUGCUACAGGUGUUCAAUGUCAGUACUAGUCAGAUAUUUUAAUAGAUGCUGACAAAGUAAAUCAUUUUUCUCCAUGUUUUGAGCAGAGAUGCUCAUCAUGACAUCUUCCUUUAUGUAGUAAAUUUAUUUUGUGUAUUACAGUAAAAGCUGUAAAUCAGCAUAAACAUGUCUGACAGCAACAGUAAUCUUUAGUCAAAGACUAAACUGGGCAGUUUUCUACACUGCACUGUUGUCAAGCUCCACAUUAUAUGCAAUAAGUGACAUGUUAUAAAUUACCUCGGUUAUAUCUGUUAUAUAUUUUGGAUAGGUGCUCCUGUGGAAACUGUGCAACCAUGCCCACAGAAGCUGAGAAUAUCUGCUGCUAGGAGAUACCACAGGUUACCAGACGGCUAUGGGAGAUCGAGGAAGAUUUACCAUGUACGGUCGGCCGUCCUGGGUUGGAGCCGCUCUGCCUCAUUGUGUACUCCCUCCAGAAUGCCUGCAACAUGUACCGCACUGACUACGGUCCUUUACAGUUGAGAGGAAUACACCAGUAUGUUUUGCUUCUUUGUAAAAACAUAGUUUCAAUCUAAAUAAAAGAUGUUAGGCA